AGCCUGAUGCGGGCUUCAAACCCAUGAACCAUGGAGAUUAUGACCUAAGCUGAAGUUGGAUGCCUAACCAGCUGAGCCACCCAGGCACCCCAGGAUUAGAGAGCUUUAAGUAAAGCAUAUUCAUUAUAGAAAACUGAGAAAAUACAGAAAGGAACCAAAAACAAAAAGAAAAAUCACCACUAAUUCUCUAACCCAGAGAAUAUUCAUAGUAAAAUACAGAUUUCUUUUGCUUUGUAAUUGGGAUCGUUCUAUGUAUAAAUUUGUUAGGGAAUACAUUUUAAGGUACUUGUUGAACAUCAUCUUUCUGAAAUAUUUAAAAUGAAUUUUGAAUUUUGUUAAUUUUGUUUGAAUUUAAAAAUAUUUAGCUGUACUGCUUUCUUUUCUUUGAGGAGACCCUGAAAGCCUAUUUCACUCAUGAGGCUGCAUUUUCUAGGAUGUAAAGUGAAGAGACGGUAGGCGUCGUCUCCCCUCCUCCCUCUUCCGACCCAGUCAGUGGAUCUCAUUCCCGUGCUGCAGUUAAUCUAGCACCAUCAUCAACUAGACUUGGAAGAGAACCUCAGGAAAUUCUUUGAGGGUAAGAAAUACAAGUCCCUGGAUCUGUGGUCCAAGAAGACACAUACCAUGUGCUGUGACUUAACCGGCACCAGGAGAACCUGAAGACCAAGUAGCAGCAGCAGCAGCAGCAGCAGCAGCAGCAGCAGCAGCAGGAGUGCUGCAGAAGGUCAAGGCCUGAGCAUCGGCAUCAACAAAACAAAAAAAUUGGGAAAAAAUAUGACCAUCAUAUAAUCUCAUCAUUUCACUUCUGGGUAUUUAUCUGAAGGAAACAAAAACACUAUCUCCAAAAGAUAUAUGCACUCCCAGGUUUAUUGCAGUACUUGAUAAUAGCCAAGAUAUAGACUCAACCUAUAUGUUUAUUGAUGGAUGAAUGGAU